rnacentral:rRNA from 1 species
GAUGAACGCUAGCGGCAGGCUUAAUACAUGCAAGUCGAGGGGCAGCACGGUUAGCAAUAACUGGUGGCGACCGGCGCACGGGUGCGUAACACGUAUACAAUCUACCUUAAACAGGGGGAUAGCCUUUCGAAAGAGAGAUUAAUACCCCGUAAUAAAUUGAACGGCAUCGUUUGAUUUUGAAAGCUCCGGCGGUUUGAGAUGAGUAUGCGUCUGAUUAGCUAGUUGGUGAGGUAACGGCUCACCAAGGCGACGAUCAGUAGGGGAUCUGAGAGGACUAACCCCCACACUGGUACUGAGACACGGACCAGACUCCUACGGGAGGCAGCAGUAAGGAAUAUUGGUCAAUGGAGGCAACUCUGAACCAGCCAUGCCGCGUGCAGGAUGACGGCCCUAUGGGUUGUAAACUGCUUUUAUACAAGAGAAAACCCUGGUACGUGUACCAGGUUGAUAGUAUUGUAAGAAUAAGCAUCGGCUAAACUUCGUGCCAGCAGCCGCGGU